UGGGGAAUUUUGGACAAUGGGCGAAAGCCUGAUCCAGCAAUGCCGCGUGUGUGAAGAAGGCCUUCGGGUUGUAAAGCACUUUUGUCCGGAAAGAAAUCCUUGGCUCUAAUACAGUCGGGGGAUGACGGUACCGGAAGAAUAAGCACCGGCUAACUACGUGCCAGCAGCCGCGGUAAUACGUAGGGUGCAAGCGUUAAUCGGAAUUACUGGGCGUAAAGCGUGCGCAGGCGGUUUGCUAAGACCGAUGUGAAAUCCCCGGGCUCAACCUGGGAACUGCAUUGGUGACUGGCAGGCUAGAGUAUGGCAGAGGGGGGUAGAAUUCCACGUGUAGCAGUGAAAUGCGUAGAGAUGUGGAGGAAUACCGAUGGCGAAGGCAGCCCCCUGGGCCAAUACUGACGCUCAUGCACGAAAGCGUGGGGAGCAAACAGGAUUAGAUACCCUGGUAGUCCACGCCCUAAACGAUGUCAACUAAUUGUUGGGGAUUCAUUUCCUUAGUAACGUAGCUAACGCGUGAAGUUGACCGCCUGGGGAGUACGGUCGCAAGAUUAAAACUUAAAUGAAUUGACGGGGUCGUAGCUGUUUCCU
rnacentral:rRNA from 1 species